rnacentral:rRNA from 1 species
GGUAGUAUUAACCCAAAAAACCAAUAAAGAAUGGCGGUUACAAAUUUUUAGAGAAACUCGUCUUAUAAUCGUCAACCCCCGUUAAUUUUAACUUAAUCUCGAUUAAUCUUUAUACCGCCGUUAAAGAAAUUAAAUAAAAUUAAUUUUCCUUCUCAUUACAAUAACAAAAUCAGGUCAAGGUGAAGUCAAUAAUUAAGUAAAGAUAAGUUACAUUAAAAAUCAUUUAAGGAAGAUCUUUAGAAAUAAAAUCGCAAAGAGAAUCUAAAAGUAAAAAUUAAUUAAAAUUUAAUAUAGAAAACAUAUUAGUAACGU